rnacentral:rRNA from 1 species
CACAUGCAAGUCGAACGGACUUACAUUGAAGCCUAGCGAUAUGUAAGUUAGUGGCGGACGGGUGAGUAACGCGUGGGUAACCUGCCUUGUACUGGGGGACAACAGUUGGAAACGACUGCUAAUACCGCAUAAGCGCACAGCUUCGCAUGAAGCAGUGUGAAAAACUCCGGUGGUACAAGAUGGACCCGCGUCUGAUUAGCUGGUUGGUGAGGUAACGGCCCACCAAGGCGACGAUCAGUAGCCGGCCUGAGAGGGUGAACGGCCACAUUGGGACUGAGACACGGCCCAAACUCCUACGGGAGGCAGCAGUGGGGAAUAUUGCACAAUGGGGGAAACCCUGAUGCAGCAACGCCGCGUGAGUGAAGAAGUAUUUCGGUAUGUAAAGCUCUAUCAGCAGGAAAGAAAAUGACGGUACCUGACUAAGAAGCCCCGGCUAACUACGUGCCAGCAGCCGCGGUAAUACGUAGGGGGCAAGCGUUAUCCGGAUUUACUGGGUGUAAAGGGAGCGUAGACGGUUUUGCAAGUCUGAAGUGAAAGCCCGGGGCUUAACCCCGGGACUGCUUUGGAAACUGUAGAACUAGAGUGCAGGAGAGGUAAGUGGAAUUCCUAGUGUAGCGGUGAAAUGCGUAGAUAUUAGGAGGAACACCAGUGGCGAAGGCGGCUUACUGGACUGUAACUGACGUUGAGGCUCGAAAGCGUGGG